GGGACAUUGACUGUGCUUUUAUUUAUGACUUUAGUGGAACAGGAUUCUGUGCCAAGGGAGAACUCCACCGUGACUUGAGGAAGGGCAGGACUCUGUGGGUGCUAACAGCGAUGAGGAUUUGUCACAUCAUGUAACUGUGGCUGAUCUGGAAUUCAGUGAAGACCUCAAAAUGCGAGAGACCCACCUGCCUCUACUUCCCAAGUAGUGGGAUUAAAGAUAUGUACCACCACACAUGGUAGACCAUGGGAAAUUCUGACACAGCAAAGGCAGGGCAAUGUAUGCGCUGAAGUUCUCUAUACCUUCCUGAACUAGCUCAGUUUGUUGCACAGUGUGGCUGAAA